GGCCCGGUGGUGUAGUGGUUAACAUGCCGCCCUGUCACGGCGGAGAUCGAGGGUUCAAGUCCCUUCCGGGUCGCCA
rnacentral:tRNA from 10 species